rnacentral:rRNA from 1 species
CCAAUAGCGUAUAUUAAAGUUGUUGCAGUUAAAAAGCUCGUAGUUGAAUUUCGGGAUCAAUUUACUGGUCGUGCUAUCGUACGUACUGGUUUUAUUGAUUCCUCUCUUCUGAAGAACUAUGAUGUCAUUAAUUUGGUGUCAUAGGGAAUCAGGACUGUUACUUUGAAAAAAUUAGAGUGUUUAAAGCAGGCUCACGCUUGAAUACAUUAGCAUGGAAUAACGGAAUAGGACGUUUGAUUCUAUUUUGUUGGUUUCUAGGAUCGACGUAAUGAUUAAUAGGGAUAGUUGGGGGCAUUAGUAUUCAAUUGUCAGAGGUGAAAUUCUUGGAUUUAUUGAAGACUAACUACUGCGAAAGCAUUUGCCAAGGAUGUUUUCAUUAAUCAAGAACGAAAGUUAGGGGAUCGAAGACGAUCAGAUACCGUCGUAGUCUUAACCAUAAACUAUGCCGACUAGGGAUCGGAUGAUGUUAAUUUUUUAAUGACUCA